rnacentral:rRNA from 1 species
GGACUACAGGGGUAUCUAAUCCUGUUUGCUCCCCACGCUUUCGCGUCUCAGCGUCAGUUACUGUCCAGGUCGCCGCCUUCGCCACCGGUGUUCCUCCCGAUAUCUACGAAUUUCACCUCUACUUCGGGAAUUCCGCGACCCUCUCCAGCACUCAAGCAAAGCAGUUUCGGGCGCACUUCCUCAGUUGAGCUGAGGGCUUUCACACCCGACUUGCCAAGCCGCCUACACGCGCUUUACGCCCAAUAAUUCCGAACAACGCUUGCACCCUCUGUAUUACCGCGGCUGCUGGCAC